rnacentral:tRNA from 1 species
UGGCUCAGUGGUAAAGAUUCUGCCUGCAAUGCAGAAGACUCAGGUUCAAUCCCUGG